UGUUAUGCACUUGGAACAUACGCUUCCCCUUCUUUAUUUUACAGGGCUUCCCAUCCGAGCAUAUUCUGCUGUUCCCACUGCUGUGCUGGUUGGGAUAACACAACGUUGGAAAUUACAUAAAUGCCAUGGUUAUAUGAUUAGGACAUCUUUGUAAAAAGUGUGAUUUCCAGCUAUAAAACAGGAGGAACAGCUAAGUACAAAGACAAAAAAGGAGAUGGCCAAAACAUUUCAGGAGAUCAGUAAAAAGUUAAAUGGAGAUGUUUCCCUCAAGACGCGAACAAUUUGUUACAUGCAGAAAAUGGAGACAAUAGGAUUAACGAAGAAGUACAGUUUAAACAGCAGCAAUAUUUCUUGGAUGGGAUUUAGCUUUCAACAGGUAUGAAUAUCAAUACUGCAGUAACAGGAGUAAAAUUUCUUAGAUCAGUGAUUCCCAAGAUGUGGUCCAUGGACAAGCAUCGCCAUCACCUAGGGAUCAUUCAACACUGGGAAGGAAUCUUUGUGUCCCACCCAAACCUACUGAUGUGGGGAGUCUGUAGGUGAGGCCGGUUCUAUUCCAGGAAGAGACCCUUCCUGGAAUGGGGACCUAAGUGGGACCUGAC